rnacentral:rRNA from 1 species
UAGGGAAUCUUCCGCAAUGGGCGAAAGCCUGACGGAGCAACGCCGCGUGAGUGAAGAAGGAUUUCGGUUCGUAAAGCUCUGUUGUUAGGGAAGAAUGAUUGUGUAGUAACUAUACACAGUAGAGACGGUACCUAACCAGAAAGCCACGGCUAACUACGUGCCAGCAGCCGCGGUAAUACGUAGGUGGUAAGCGUUGUCCGGAAUUAUUGGGCGUAAAGCGCGCGCAGGUGGUUUAAUAAGUCUGAUGUGAAAGCCCACGGCUCAACCGUGGAGGGUCAUUGGAAACUGUUAAACUUGAGUGCAGGAGAGAAAAGUGGAAUUCCUAGUGUAGCGGUGAAAUGCGUAGAGAUUAGGAGGAACACCAGUGGCGAAGGCGGCUUUUUGGCCUGUAACUGACACUGAGGCGCGAAAGCGUGGGGAGCAAACAGGAUUAGAUACCCUGGUAGUCCACGCCGUAAACGAUGAGUGCUAAGUGUUGGUCUCAUAAGAGAUCAGUGCUGCAGCUAACGCAUUAAGCACUCCGCCUGGGGAGUACGACCGCAAGGUUG